rnacentral:rRNA from 1 species
CUUUACUAUACGCUGGCAUUGUGAUGUUGGUCUGCGUGUGCAGGAUAGGUGGGAGACUUUGAGACCGUGGCGUCAGCUGCGGUGGAGUCAUCCUUGAGAUACCACCCUCGUAUUCUGAUAUCACUCACCCUGUCUCUGAAACGGAGCAGGGGACCGUGCUUGCUGGGUAGUUUAACUGGGGCGGUUGCCUCCUAAAGUGUAACGGAGGCGCGCAAAGGUCAACUAGCGCCGGAUGGAAAUCGGCGCGGUCGUGUAAUCGCACACGUUGGCCUGACUGUGAGACUUACAAGUCGAGCAGGGACGAAAGUCGGUGAUAGUGAUCCGGCAACCUGAGUAUAUUUAUAUGCUCUUCCCACGUGGGUGGGUUG